UAAGUUAAUAAGGGCGCACGGUGGAUGCCUUGGCACUAGGAGCCGACGAAGGACGUGACAAACGACGAUAUGCCUUGGGUAGCUGUAAGUAAGCGAUGAUCCAGGGAUUUCCGAAUGGGGGAACCCAACAGGUAAUACCUGUUACCUACAUCUGUUAAGGAUGUGAGGAGGAAGACGCAGUGAACUGAAACAUCUAAGUAGCUGCAGGAAGAGAAAGCAAAAGCGAUUGCCUUAGUAGCGGCGAGCGAAACGGCAGAAGGGCAAACCGAAGAGUUUACUCUUCGGGGUUGUAGGACUGCAAUGUGGACUCAAAGAUUAUAGAAGAAUGAUUUGGGAAGAUCAGCCAAAGAGAGUAAUAGCCUCGUAUUUAAAAUAGUCUUUGUACUUAGCAGUAUCCUGAGUACGGCGGGACACGUGAAAUCCCGUCGGAAUCUGGGAGGACCAUCUCCCAACCCUAAAUACUCCCUAGUGACCGAUAGUGAACCAGUACCGUGAGGGAAAGGUGAAAAGCACCCCGGGAGGGGAGUGAUAUAGAACCUGAAACCGUGUGCCUACAACAAGUUCGAGCCCGUUAAUGGGUGAGAGCGUGCCUUUUGUAGAAUGAACCGGCGAGUUACGUUAUGAUGCGAGGUUAAGUUGAAGAGACGGAGCCGUAGGGAAACCGAGUCUGAAUAGGGCGCCUUAGUAUCAUGACGUAGACCCGAAACCAUGUGACCUACCCAUGAGCAGGUUGAAGGUGCGGUAAGACGCACUGGAGGACCGAACCAGGGCACGUUGAAAAGUGCUUGGAUGACUUGUGGGUAGCGGAGAAAUUCCAAACGAACUUGGAGAUAGCUGGUUCUCUCCGAAAUAGCUUUAGGGCUAGCGUCGACAUUAGAGAUUCUUGGAGGUAGAGCACUGUUUGGGUGAGGGGUCCAUCCCGGAUUACCAAUCUCAGAUAAACUCCGAAUGCCAAUGAAUUAUGGUCGGCAGUCAGACUGCGAGUGCUAAGAUCCGUAGUCGAAAGGGAAACAGCCCAGACCACCAGCUAAGGUCCCAAAAUAAUUGUUAAGUGGAAAAGGAUGUGGGGUUGCACAGACAACUAGGAUGUUAGCUUAGAAGCAGCUAUUCAUUCAAAGAGUGCGUAAUAGCUCACUAGUCGAGUGACCCUGCGCCGAAAAUGUACCGGGGCUAAAACAAUUUACCGAAGCUGUGGAUACCUUUAUAGGUAUGGUAGGAGAGCGUUCUAUGUGUGAUGAAGGUAUACCGUGAGGAGUGCUGGAACGCAUAGAAGUGAGAAUGCCGGUAUGAGUAGCGAAAGACAGGUGAGAAUCCUGUCCACCGUAAGACUAAGGUUUCCAGGGGAAGGCUCGUCCGCCCUGGGUUAGUCGGGACCUAAGGAGAGACCGAAAGGUGUAUCCGAUGGACAACAGGUUGAUAUUCCUGUACUAGAGUAUGUAGUGAUGGAGGGACGCAGUAGGCUAACUAAAGCAGACGAUUGGAAGAGUCUGUCUAAGCAGUGAGGUGUGAAUUGAGUCAAAUGCUUAAUUCUAUAACAUUGAGCUGUGAUGGGGAGCGAAGUUUAGUAGCGAAGUUAGUGACGUCACACUGCCAAGAAAAGCUUCUAGCGUUUAAACAUACUCUACCCGUACCGCAAACCGACACAGGUAGUCGAGGCGAGUAGCCUCAGGUGAGCGAGAGAACUCUCGUUAAGGAACUCGGCAAAAUGACCCCGUAACUUCGGGAGAAGGGGUGCUGACUUAAAGUCAGCCGCAGUGAAUAGGCCCAAGCAACUGUUUAUCAAAAACACAGCUCUCUGCUAAAUCGUAAGAUGAUGUAUAGGGGGUGACGCCUGCCCGGUGCUGGAAGGUUAAGAGGAGUGCUUAGCGUAAGCGAAGGUAUGAAUUGAAGCCCCAGUAAACGGCGGCCGUAACUAUAACGGUCCUAAGGUAGCGAAAUUCCUUGUCGGGUAAGUUCCGACCCGCACGAAAGGCGUAAUGAUUUGGGCACUGUCUCAACGAGAGACUCGGUGAAAUUUUAGUACCUGUGAAGAUGCAGGUUACCCGCGACAGGACGGAAAGACCCCAUGGAGCUUUACUGCAGUUUGAUAUUGAGUGUCUGUACCACAUGUACAGGAUAGGUAGGAGUCUAAGAGAUCGGGACGCCAGUUUCGAAGGAGACGCUGUUGGGAUACUACCCUUGUGUUAUGGCCACUCUAACCCAGAUAGGUGAUCCCUAUCGGAGACAGUGUCUGACGGGCAGUUUGACUGGGGCGGUCGCCUCCUAAAAGGUAACGGAGGCGCCCAAAGGUUCCCUCAGAAUGGUUGGAAAUCAUUCGCAGAGUGUAAAGGUAUAAGGGAGCUUGACUGCGAGAGCUACAACUCGAGCAGGGACGAAAGUCGGGCUUAGUGAUCCGGUGGUUCCGUAUGGAAGGGCCAUCGCUCAACGGAUAAAAGCUACCCUGGGGAUAACAGGCUUAUCUCCCCCAAGAGUUCACAUCGACGGGGAGGUUUGGCACCUCGAUGUCGGCUCGUCGCAUCCUGGGGGCUGUAGUCGGUCCCAAGGGUUGGGCUGUUCGCCCAUUAAAGCGGCACGCGAGCUGGGUUCAGAACGUCGUGAGACAGUUCGGUCCCUAUCCGUCGCGGGCGUAGGAAAUUUGAGAGGAUCUGCUCCUAGUACGAGAGGACCAGAGUGGACUUACCGCUGGUGUACCAGUUGUCUUGCCAAAGGCAUCGCUGGGUAGCUAUGUAGGGAAGGGAUAAACGCUGAAAGCAUCUAAGUGUGAAACCCACCUCAAGAUGAGAUUUCCCAUGAUUAUAUAUCAGUAAGAGCCCUGAGAGAUGAUCAGGUAGAUAGGUUAGAAGUGGAAGUGUGGCGACACAUGUAGCGGACUAAUACUAAUAGCUCGAGGACUUAUCCA
rnacentral:rRNA from 1 species